rnacentral:rRNA from 1 species
GAUCCGGCUCAGAUUGAACGCUGGCGGCAGGCCUAACACAUGCAAGUCGAGCGGAUGAAGAGAGCUUGCUCUCUGAUUCAGCGGCGGACGGGUGAGUAAUGCCUAGGAAUCUGCCUGAUAGUGGGGGACAACGUUUCGAAAGGAACGCUAAUACCGCAUACGUCCUACGGGAGAAAGCAGGGGACCUUCGGGCCUUGCGCUAUCAGAUGAGCCUAGGUCGGAUUAGCUAGUUGG